rnacentral:rRNA from 1 species
GACAGAGGGGGCAAGCGUUGCUCGGAAUUACUGGGCGUAAAGGGCGCGUAGGCGGAAUGGCAAGUCGGUCGUGAAAUCCUUCGGCUCAACCGAAGAACGUCGAUCGAAACUGCCGUUCUUGAGGAUUGCAGAGGAGACUGGAAUUCCCGGUGUAGCGGUGAAAUGCGCAGAUAUCAGGAGGAACACCGGUGGCGAAGGCGGGUCUCUGGGCCGAUACUGACGCUGAGGAGCGAAAGCGUGGGGAGCGAACAGG